rnacentral:rRNA from 1 species
UGGCUCCGUUCCGGGGUCCGAGUUGUAAUUUGGAGAGGAUGCUUCGGGCGCGGCACCGGUCUAAGUCCCUUGGAACAGGGCGUCAUAGAGGGUGAGGAUCCCGUAUGUGACCGGCGACCAAGUCCAGGUGAAGCUCCUUCGACGAGUCGAGUUGUUUGGGAAUGCAGCUCAAAAUGGGUGGUAAAUUUCAUCUAAAGCUAAAUACCGGCCAGAGACCGAUAGCGCACAAGUAGAGUGAUCGAAAGAUGAAAAGCACUUUGGAAAGAGAGUCAAAAAGUACGUGAAAUUGUUGAAAGGGAAGCGCUUGUAACCAGACCUGCCGUCGGGUGCUCAGCGGGCACUUGUGCCCGCCUAUUCACCCGCGAUCAGGCCAGCAUCGGUUUUGGCGGCCGGAUAAAGACUCGAGGAAUGUAGCUUCGCUUCGGGGAAGUGUUAUAGCCUCGGGUGCAAUACGGCCAGCCGGGACCGAGGACCGCGCUUCGGCUAGGAUGCUGGCGUAAUGGUUGCAAGCGACCCGUCUUGAAACACGGACCAAGGAGUCUAACAUCUAUGCGAGUGUUUGGGUGUUAAACCCACGCGCGGAAUGAAAGUGAACGGAGGUGGGAACCCUCAAGGGCGCACCAUCGACCGAUCCGGAAGUUUACGGAUGGAUUUGAGUAUGAGCAUAGCUGUUGGGACCCGAAAGAUGGUGAACUAUGCCUGAAUAGGGUGAAGCCAGAGGAAACUCUGGUGGAGGCUCGCAGCGGUUCUGACGUGCAAAUCGAUCGUCAAAUUUGGGUAUAGGGGCGAAGUAAGCAUCCCCGGUCCCUUAUUUUCCUAAUGGAAUGAUUACUAACAUAUUAACAGAGACUAAUCGAACCAUCUAGUAGCUGGUUCCUGCCGAAGUUUCCCUCAGGAUAGCAGUAACGUUUUCAGUUUUAUGAGGUAAAGCGAAUGAUUAGAAGCCUUGGGGAUGAAACAUCCUUAACUUAUUCUCAAACUUUAAAUAUGUAAGAAGUCCUUGUUGCUUAGUUGAACGUGGACAUUUGAAUGCACCGUUACUAGUGGGCCAUUUUUGGUAAGCAGAACUGGCGAUGCGGGAUGAACCGAACGUGGGGUUAAGGUGCCGGAAUGUACGCUCAUCAGACACCAAGGGGAGACUUGUGGUGUCGGGCCGGGGGGGGCGACCCCCCAGCAUCAGUCUGCUUAAGGCGAGGUCUUUGACCUGUUAGGGGUCGGUGGUCGCUCCGCGAUGGCCUACCCUCCGCUGUCCCCUCCCGCGAGGGGCAGCUCACAGAUCAAGCAAAGGCCGGCGGCAGGAUGCCGUUGGAGAUAUGAUCGGCCCCUGGAGG